rnacentral:rRNA from 1 species
GACGAACCGUGCGAACGUUAUUCGGAAUCACUGGGCUUAAAGCGCGUGUAGGCGGGACGGCACGUCGGUCGCUGAAAGCCCCCGGCUCAACCGGGGAACGGGCGCCGAUACGACCGGCCUGGAGGGACGUAGGGGGACCUGGAACUUCCGGUGGAGCGGUGAAAUGCGUUGAGAUCGGAAGGAACGCCCGUGGCGAAAGCGAGGUCCUGGACGUUUUCUGACGCUGAGACGCGAAAGCCAGGGGAGCAAACGGG